UAUUUGUAGAUCUUACUUUGCUGUACAUUAUUGCUGUUUACAGUUUAUCUCUAUCUAUAAUAAUAUUCAAGAUAACAACCAAAAGCUGCAAAAUUUUCUUUAAAUUACCAAUUCAGGGGCAGCAACCCAACAACGUGUUGCCUGAUUGGUCUGAAAAUUUCAGGGCAGAUAGAUCUUGACCUAAUGAACAAUUUUAUCAAUGUCAGAUUUGCUCUAAAUGCUUUGGUUUCAGAGAUAUGAGCCAAUAAAAUGCUCCGCAGGGCGCAGCUUGAUACGACCGCAGAGGUCGAACCCUGAAAGUUGGGGCAAGUAUGGACACAACAUUCAAGCUUGAUACAGCUCUGAAUUUGGAUUGUGAUUAAAUAUUUGACACAGCAUAGGUUUCUGACACAGAAUGAAUGUGGUCUAAGAACUUAAAAAUUUUAAAUUGGCAUUCACCUAUUAUGGUCCAAUAUCCAAAAUCUAAAUACAUGAUUAGAUUCAGCAUAUCAAAGAACCCCAAUAUUUCAAUUUUUGAUGAAAUCAAACCAUAUCAUUAUUAUUUGCUUUUAUAUAUAAAUCAAAU